rnacentral:rRNA from 1 species
CCUACGGGAGGCAGCAGUAGGGAAUCUUCCACAAUGGGCGAAAGCCUGAUCGAGCAACGCCGCGUGGGUGAAGAAGGUCUUCGGAUCGUAAAACCCUUUUGUUAGAGAAGAAAGUGCGUUAUAGUAACUGUUCACGUUUCUACCCUAUCUAACCACAUAGCCACGGCUAACGCCGUGCCAGCAGCCGCGGUGAUACGUAGGUGGCUUGCGUUGUCCGGAUUUGUUGGGGGUAAAGGGAAUGUUUGUGGUCUUUCAAGUCUGAUGGUAAAUGCUUCGGCUUAACCUGAGUAGUGCAUUUGAGACUGGAAGACUGGAGUGUGGUAGAGGAGAGUGGAACGACAGGUGUAGCGGUGAAAUGCGUAGAUAUAUGGCAGAACACCAGUGGCGAAGGCGGCUCUCUGGUCCGUAACUGACAUUGAGGUACGAAAGCGUGGGUAGCAAACAGGAUUAGAUACCCUGGUAGUC